UUGUGUCGGAUAAUUAAUUUCUUUUAAUACAAGUUCCGUAUUCUUAAUAAUAAAAUUCUUUAUAAUUUCUUUUUUUUUUUCUUGUUUGUGUCGAAUAAUUAUUUUCUUUCAAUUCAAAUUCCGUAUUCUUUAUAAUAGUCUUAAAAUAUAAUAUUUUAUAAAUCUUACAUUAGGUUUUUCCAGCUUUCCAUAGGAUGUUGUGCUGCGCUCCGGGGUUGUCCCUUUUCUUUAACAGUACUGAGGUCCCUCGGCGUUUAGAAAUCCCACGUUGUGCGUUGUAGCCGCUCGUUAGCAAAGUAUUUAUUGUAUUUUUUGUUUUUCACACACUUUUUUUUUUUGUUUUUAACUCACGGAGCCUUACUUUUUUAUUUUCAGGCUUUUUUCUUUUUUUUUCACAAUCACUACCGUUCGCCACUCGCGGAGCCUUACUUUUUGGUUUUCAGGCAAUUACUACUUACGCGCGCUGUCCCUGCUCGGGCGCCAGUUAAAAAACGUUUUGUUAUGUUUAAUAAAAAAAUAUAUUUUGGGAGCUAUGCUCCUUUAUUGAAUUCCACUUAAGAACUAACAUUUACAAUUAAUUAUACUUAACUCUAGACCUAUGUUUGCCGCUGCAACGGGUACGGAGUUUGCUGACGCUGCGCUUCCCACAGGUUGCCACUACACGUGUCGCAGUCUCAGCGAUUUAGUGGUAUCAUAUUAUUUUACUUUGUAUCAUAUGAUAUUACUGCAUCAUAUGAUACUUUUGAAUGUAUGGGGUGCUAACUUAUAUAGCAGUAAGGUUUAAGUCACAACCCCGAUUUUUGAGUGAAAUUGUUGUAGCUUGUAACUGUGGAGUAGCAUGCGAUUCUAGGGCAUAGUGGUUUAAACGAUUUCUAAUCAACACUGCCGUGCCACCAUGCGCUUUUCCAUCUGGAUGAUUUGUGACAUAGACUCUAAAUCCCGGAAUAUUGAAAUUAUUUUUAUUUGUUAAAUGAGUUUCUGAUAUAAGCAUUACAUCAAUAUUCUUUUCAGACAGAAAUCUGAUAAUCUCUAAUUUAUGUUGGUUAACACCGUUAGCAUUCCAUAUACAGAUAUUUAGUAAGCUCAUAUUUUACUUAAUAAAUUUUGCAGCAUUUGAUUACAAUCUAGCAGAUUGUAUAUAGGAUGGGUCUCAUUUUUUUUUAGUUGAUUCGAAUUCGGCAACAAUUCAAUUUUAAACGUUGGCUGUGGGACUUUGUUUCUAUUAAAUAUAUUUACAACUGUUUUAAUUCCAAAACCACAUUCCUCCAAUGCUUCACUGGAGUCUACGGCGGACUCUAUACCCUUGAUUACAACAACUAGGCCCUUAGAGCUCUUCAGUUGAUACGAACAAUAAUUUUUGUUUUUAUUCGACAAAAAUUUAACGAUUUCCAUGAAACUUUUUUCAGUGUAGGACUGAAUUUUUGUUUCGUCUAUAUUGCCUUUUUUCAAAGGCACUAUAUGAAAAUUGUUAGUGCCAACAAUUUCACUUAAAUUCGCAACAAGAGUAUUACUGCUACGCUCGCGCAAAUUUAUCGGAGGUUGUUUGGCAUUAACGACUGUGGUGGUGCCCUUCGCAUCGCCGUUACACUUUUUAUUUCCAGUAGUUGUGGUUGUUGUUGGGUCGACAAAGCUGAAGUAGGCAUUUAAGGAAUGCCUACGGCCUUGCUGAUGAGGCUGCGAAGCACUCAUUAUUGUUUGUUUGAUUUUUUGUUUUUUGUUUUCACUUGUUGAUUCGUGCACUAAUUGUUUAUGUUUAUUAUUAUUAAUUUGUGUGCACUGUUUUAAAUGUUUGUUUACAAUUUAUAAAUUGUUUUUUUGUUUUGUUUUACUUUUUGAUUGGUUUUAUGAUUAAUUUUUUUUUUGUAAAGAUUGAAUUCACGGAGCGAGUUAAAUAACACGACCGUACUCUUUGAACACUCUCUUGUUUUCUUUCUGGCAAUGGAAAUCCGACUUCAUCUUUAAGAGCAUGUUUGAAUUGUUGAAUAAUUUCUUCGAUUUGCUCUGUUUUGUAUUUCAAAUCUAUUUUAUUAUUGUUGAGCGGCUCCUUUUAUAAAAAAUUCUCAGCCUAUGUUUUUGAAUUAAUUAUCAGACCAACGCAUAACACAUAAUAAGUGCGUUGGUCUGAUCUAAAAGUACACGUAUAUAGGCGGUUAUAUUUAAUUAAAAGCGUUAAUUUAUUUAUUUGAAUUAUGCACUUAUAGCUUAAUACAAUUGUCCUUAACGUAUGAUAUAACCGGAGCGUCCGCUCUGGUUGAUGCCAAAACUGAAACUGUUUGAUCGUUCGUUAGAGUCGGUUAAGCUAAUAAUCGUUCUUUGUCUCUACUUGUUCGUUCGUUGUCUCGUCUCAUUUCUGUAGAAGCAGGGUUGUUAUCUGUUACGUUCUUGUUCUGUAGCAACAGGGUUGUUAUCUGUUACAUUCUUGUCACGUCAAAGCUACGUCCACUUCUGGUCCUACGUCCGUCUGUCACUCCCACUAGUAUUACUUAUCAGCAAAUGAAUUUGUAUUUAGCCGUUUUGAAGUUAUUGGUGUUGUCAUAGAGUUGUCGUAUAGCCAUAACGACAGUAUAUUUGAAGCAAUUUCACAAUCUUAUAUUAAGGUGUACUAUCGAUUUUUUAGUACAUAUACAUUAAGCAAUCGAUACCAAGUUGCGUAAAGAUGUUGUUUGUAAUUAAGUUACAAUUAAUUGAAAAAUGAAUGAAUGAAUUGAAAAAUAUAUGAUCAGCUGCGUUUAAUCGCCAACUGUUGCUACUCCUUGAGAUGUGAAGUUGGCUGCUGCUUGCUAGCAUCACGCAGGGUGUUGCCAACAUUACAUGUAUACAUGUGAUCAUGCAUCUCUGUUGCGCUCAUUCAGCAGUGUCAUAUAAAUUAUAUACACUUGUGCUCACAUAAUUAAGUCACGCCAGUAACAGAACGAAAGUUUAUUCAAAGCAACUUCUAUGGUACAGGAAUGAAACUUAAUUUUACAAAAAAUGAAAGUAAUUUUAAUUCAGUUCAAAACAGAAUACUUAUUUUUUAUUUAACUUCUAAAAUAAUAAAAAUAUUGCGUUCAUUCGCUUAGCCCAUCCAUGUUGUUGUGCUCAUAUAAUUAAGUCACCUAAAGAAAAAUGUAGUUAUUCGAAGUAUACGACAUUUUUUUGCAGUUUUACCUUACCUAAGACUAAUACUUAGUUGGAUAACCUUUAUUACGUAGCACCUCAGUACAUCGCUUAGGCAUUGUUUGGACUAAAGUAGCACAUUGAGCGGGACUUAUUUUGUACCACUCUGCCUGUAUUAUUUCCCAUAAAGAAUCUUUGUUGCGAGGUUUUCGUGCAGCUACGGCUCUUUUUAUAAUCCCCCAUAGGUUUUCUAUGGGGUUUAGGUCCGGACUUUGAGCUGGCCAAUCCAGAAUUUUAAUAUUUCGACUACGUAUCCAAGAUUUAACGACCCGCGAGCAGUGUUUGGGGUCGUUAUCGUGCUGGAAAAUCCAAGCUAACGGUAAGUUGUCCACAUAAUCACCGUCUAAAUUGUUCUCCAGUAUUCCUUUGUACAUUUCACCUGUCAUUUUCCCGUCUAUUUUAACAAUCGGGCCAACGCCUGAUGACGUGAAGCAACCCCACACCAUCACUGAUGAACCACCAUGUUUCACGGUUUUUUUAGUGUAUUUCGGAUUGAGUUCUUGCAAAGGGGGUCGUCUUACAUAUGGUUUCCCAUCAUUACCAAAUGCAUUAAAUUUGGAUUCGUCACUCCAAACCACCAAAUUCCAAAAUUUAGAGUCCUCCCAGAGAUGGUCUUUAGCAAACGCUUUUCGCUUUUCAAUAUUUUUUUUUGAAACGUUAGGUUUUCGUCUUGCUAAACGGCCAUUCAAUGAAUUUUCUUGUAGUCGUCUUCGUACAGUUUGCGCAGAUAUUUGUACGCCGUGGUAUUCCUCUAAUUGAGCCCUAAUUUCUGUGGAGGUUAAAAAUGGGUCAGACUUACUUAGCCUUACUAAGGCCCUAUCGUCAGAACGGGUGGUCUUUCUUGGCUUUUUACGCGGUAAAUUUUCAAAAGUCUUAUUUUUUUUAUAAAAUUGAACAGCGUUAUUAAUUUUGCCUCGAGAAAAUCCUAAAACAUCUACAACUUCGGCAAUAUUUUGAUAUUUUUGAAAACAUUCCCAUAUGAUCCUUCUUUCGCUUGAAGUUGUGCUUUUAUUCUUAACUUAAUAAUAAUUAAAUAACUUAAUUUAGUAAAAAACAACAAUACUUAUGUAAAUUGUGGCGAAAAAAUUUAAAUUUACCCGUUUCAAACAGAAUGACUUAAUUAUGUGAGCACACUUUUAUUGACAAUAAAUAGAAAAUUCAUUUAAACUCUCCCAAACAAAAAUACUUGAAUGCGCUGUAAAUCGGUGGCGUUCCUAGAAUAACGGAACUUUUUGCUCGCGCAAUAUUAGGGAUGUUGCAUAAAGAAAUAUACCUUGUUUUUUUACAUGUUGUAAAAAAGUACUGAAUGACUUAAUUAUAUGAGCACAAGUGUAUGUAA